rnacentral:rRNA from 1 species
AUUGAACGCUGGCGGCAGGCCUAACACAUGCAAGUCGAACGAGUGGCGGACGGGUGAGUAAUGUCUGGGACACUGCCUGAUGGAGGGGGAUCACUACUGGAAACGGUCGCUAAUACCGUAUACCAUCAGAUGUGCCCAGAUGGGAUUAGCUAGUGGGUGGGGUAACGGCUCACCAAGGCGACGAUCCCUAGCUGGUCUGAGAGGAUGACCAGCCACACUGGAACUGAGACACGGUCCAGACUCCUACGGGAGGCAGCAGUGGGGAAUAUUGCACAAUGGGCGCAAGCCUGAUGCAGCCAUGCCGCGUGUAUGAAGAAGGCCUUCGGGUUGUAAAGUACUUUCAGCGGGGAGGCGUUACCCGCAGAAGAAGCACCGGCUAACUCCGUGCCAGCAGCCGCGGUAAUAC